UGCCUCAGUAACGGCGCAGUGAAGCAAGCAACAGCUCAAAUUUGAAAUCUGGCUCCUUCGGGGCCCGAGUUGUAAUUUGCAGAGGAUGCUUCGGGUACGGGUUCCUUCCGAGUUCCCUGGAACGGGACGCCAUAGAGGGUGAGAGCCCCGUCUGGUAGGACACCCAGCCCGUGUGAAGCUCCCUCGACGAGUCGAGUAGUUUGGGAAUGCUGCUCUAACGGGAGGUAUACUCCUUCCAAGGCUAAAUACCGGCUGGAGACCGAUAGCGCACAAGUAGAGUGAUCGAAAGAUGAAAAGCACUUUGAAAAGAGAGUCAAAUAGCACGUGAAAUUGUUGAAAGGGAAGCGCUCGCUACCAGACAUGGGUUCGGCGGUUCAACCGGGGCCACGCCCCGGGGCACUCCGCCGGCCCAGGCCAGCAUCAGCUUUCCGUCGGGGGCAAAGGCGUCGGGAAUGUGGCUCUCCUUCGGGGGAGUGUUAUAGCCCGGCGUGUCAUACCCUUCGGGGGGCUGAGGUACGCGCUUCUGCAAGGAUGCUGGCGUAAUGGUAGCUAGUGACCCGUCUUGAAACACGGACCAAGGAGUCAACCUUAUGUGCGAGUGCCCGGGCGUAAAACCCCAGCGCGGAAUGAAAGUGAACGUAGGUGAGAGCUUCGGCGCAUCACCGACCGAUCCUGAUGUCCUCGGACGGAUUUGAGUGAGAGCAUAUAGGGUUGGACCCGAAAGAAGAUGAACUAUGCGUGUGUAGGGUGAAGCCAGAGGAAACUCUGGUGGAGGCUCGCAGCGGUUCUGACGUGCAAAUCGAU
rnacentral:rRNA from 1 species